rnacentral:rRNA from 1 species
UACGUAGGGUGCGAGCGUUGUCCGGAUUUAUUGGGCGUAAAGAGCUCGUAGGCGGUUUGUCACGUCUGCUGUGAAAACUCGGGGCUUAACUCCGGGCCUGCAGUGGGUACGGGCAGACUAGAGUGCGGUAGGGGAGACUGGAAUUCCUGGUGUAGCGGUGGAAUGCGCAGAUAUCAGGAGGAACACCGGUGGCGAAGGCGGGUCUCUGGGCCGUAACUGACGCUGAGGAGCGAAAGCAUGGGGAGCGAACAGG